rnacentral:rRNA from 1 species
ACGCUAGCGGCAGGCCUAAUACAUGCAAGUCGAACGAGAUUAUCCAGCUUGCUGGAUAUGAAAGUGGCGCACGGGUGCGUAACGCGUAUGCAACCUACCUUAAUCAGGGGGAUAGCCCGAAGAAAUUCGGAUUAACACCGCAUAAAAACACAGAAUAGCAUUAUUCAAUGUUCAAAUAUUUAUAGGAUUAAGAUGGGCAUGCGUGUCAUUAGCUAGUUGGCGGGGUAACGGCCCACCAAGGCGACGAUGACUAGGGGAUCUGAGAGGAUGACCCCCCACACUGGUACUGAGACACGGACCAGACUCCUACGGGAGGCAGCAGUAAGGAAUAUUGGUCAAUGGAGGCAACUCUGAACCAGCCAUGCCGCGUGCAGGAAGACGGCCCUAUGGGUUGUAAACUGCUUUUAUCUGGGAAUAAACCUUUUUACGUGUAAGAAGCUGAAUGUACCAGAAGAAUAAGGAUCGGCUAACUCCGUGCCAGCAGCCGCGGUAAUACGGAGGAUCCAAGCGUUAUCCGGAUUUAUUGGGUUUAAAGGGUGCGUAGGCGGCCUGUUAAGUCAGAGGUGAAAGACGGUAGCUCAACUAUCGCAGUGCCUUUGAUACUGACGGGCUUGAAUAAACUAGAGGUAGGCGGAAUGAGACAAGUAGCGGUGAAAUGCAUAGAUAUGUCUCAGAACACCGAUUGCGAAGGCAGCUUACUAUGGUUUUAUUGACGCUGAGGCACGAAAGCGUGGGGAUCAAAC